GUGGAUAACAGAUAACACCAUUAUGUUCUAAAGAGCUUAUCUGCUGUGUAACCUGAGCAUUUUCUCUUUGGAAUGGCUGCCCCCAUUGCUACACAGCAUUGUUAUUGGAGUGAUAUUACUUCUAUUGUCAUGCAUCCAAAAUCCCAGAACUGACCCUUUAUUCCUCAUUACUUGUCAGCAAAAAUGACCAUUUUUGCUUUUUUUUGAAAAAAAUUGUGAAAUUAUGCCAAAAUGUGGAAUCAAUGGGAAAGCAUCUGCAUUUCUUUCAGGCACAAAAAAAAUAAGUUUUCUUUUUCAACAAAACAAAAGGAACUAUAUUUAUAAUAACAAUUCUAGUCUACAUCUUUUUCUACCACCAAAAACGUGGUGGGGGUUAUUCAUGGGAUUUUACUAAUUUUCUCACCAUGUUCCAAAAGCCUAAAAUGUUACCUUUCCUUUUGUUAUCAGUGAAUGCAGGACUCAGUUCUUAUUAUUGUGUUAUUAUUCCUUAUUCCUUAUGGCAGUUGCUUUAAAAUGCCAUGAAAGAAGUAAAGAGUAUCUGAAGUUUAUCAGAGCACAAGUCACAUGACCUCAGGGCUCCUGGGAAACUGACAAUAUGUCUAGCCCCAUGCAAAUUUUAAAAUUAAAUGUAAAAAAAUCUGUUUGCUUUUUUAAAUAUCUGGAUUGAUGGAUCCAGCAAGUUAUGGGCAUUUGAUUGUCUGCAGGGUUUGUAUCCUGGGAGAGAUGUUUAAUGGUUCCCUGCCCUCCAUUCUGUGUGGCUGGCAUGGCAGGUAGCCUAUUACAGUAUAAAGGGGUGGUUCAUGUUAAUGUUUAGUAUGUUAUAGAAUGACCAAUACUUAACAACAUUUCUGCUGGAAUUAACUAUUUGUUAAAUGUUCAGUAUGUUAUAGAAUGACCAAUUCUAAGCAACUUUUAUAUUUGUAACUGUUUUUUUAUAUCAUUUUGUAAACUCUUUUUAUUAUUUUCAAGGAACAGGGGGUAGGGUACAGAAAAAAGAAGGGGACAAAAAAAAAUAAAUAAAAAGGAGGGGGGUACAACAUGCAAGCAUGUCAUUAUAAUUAUUUUAUAUAGGUUAAAGGCUUCCACCAGCAUCAAGUCAUUGCUCUAAUGGUUAUUCUGGUAUUGAUAGGUCUUAUGUAUAUGUAUAUAGCAACAAACAAACAACACCAAACAGGUAUCUCCUACCAUGCCCAAAUGUAACCUGCUAAGAUGGGAAAUGUAAGAAUGAUAUACCACUUAUAUAACCUCAAAGUUUAAUGUGUGGGUUUUUUGCUUUUACCUUGUGUGUUAAUGUGAUUUAUCCAUGAGGACCAUAUGUUCCAAUAUUUGGAGCUAUUGUUGUGUAGUAUAUGGGUUAAUUCCUCCAACUUUCUUAUUUCUUCAACUUUAGCUGCCCAUUCCUUAAGUGUAGGUGGUUGAGGAUCUUUUCGUUUUCCUGGAAUAACGGCUUUUGCCGCUUGCAAUAGAUGCAGGGUAAGGGGGUCAAGAACUGCCUUAUUAUUGUCAUUUGAAAUAUUCAACAUGAUUAAAGCUGGGUCAUCUAUUGAAAUCUUUGUUCCAGACACUAUAAAUAUUGCUUAGAACCUCCUUCCAAUAGAUUUUUAUUAUGGGGCACAUCGGCCAUAUGUGAGUAUGCGAACCUAUAAAAUCGUCUAUCUUAUCAAUGAGUUCAGCUGAAGGAGGAGAGGAUUUCAAUUUAUAUAGGGUCUGAUAAAAAUCUUGAAAUGCUUCUGCAAUGCUUUUCGUACUAUGUUGAGUUAAAUUGUUUUUAUCCUUAAUAGACAUAAUAUGCGUUUGAGGUUGGAGUUUCUUAAGUAUUCCUGCAAAGUGUUUCAACAGUGAGUUCUGAUGUCAUCAGUUAUAAACGAAAGAGCCCAGGAAAACUGAGCCAAAGCCUCUGUUCUACCAGCUAUUCUACUCUACUCUACUGAAAUGAAACUUCGCUAUUGUGAUAAUGGGAAAAGAAUCUUAUUUUUAUUACACAUUGAUGGGCCCGGAAGAAUAUUGAGGCAGACAGUGGUAUUCCAUAAUAAACUGAAAAUGAUCUUU